AUUGAACGCUGGCGGCAGGCUUAACACAUGCAAGUCGAACGAUGAAGAUAUAGCUUGCUAUAUCGGAUUAGUGGCGGACGGGUGAGUAACACUUAGGAAUCUACCUUUUAGCGGGGGAUAGCUCGGGGAAACUCGAAUUAAUACCGCAUAAUUUCUACGGAAUAAAGAGGGCUUUUAGCUCUCACUAGAAGAUGAGCCUAAGUAAGAUUAGCUAGUUGGUGGGGUAAAAGCCUACCAAGGCGACGAUCUUUAGCUGGUCUGAGAGGAUGACCAGCCACACUGGGACUGAGACACGGCCCAGACUCCUACGGGAGGCAGCAGUGGGGAAUAUUGGACAAUGGGGGCAACCCCGAUCCAGCCAUGCCGCGUGUGUGAAGAAGGCCUUUUGGUUGUAAAGCACUUUAAGCAGUGAAGAAGACCUAUUGGUUAAUACCCAAUAGCGAUGACAUUAACUGCAGAAUAAGCACCGGCUAACUCUGUGCCAGCAGCCGCGGUAAUACAGAGGGUGCAAGCGUUAAUCGGAAUUACUGGGCGUAAAGCGAGCGUAGGUGGUUAAAUAAGUCAGAUGUGAAAGCCCUGGGCUCAACCUAGGAACGGCAUCUGAAACUAUUUAACUAGAGUAGGUGAGAGGGAAGUAGAAUUUCAGGUGUAGCGGUGAAAUGCGUAGAGAUCUGAAGGAAUACCGAUGGCGAAGGCAGCUUCCUGGCAUCAUACUGACACUGAGGCUCGAAAGCGUGGGUAGCAAACAGG
rnacentral:rRNA from 1 species